rnacentral:lncRNA from 1 species
CUAGAGGGAAUCAACUAACGAAUAGAGAUUAAGAAGUAAUAAGAAUUACAAACCAAUUUGUACAAAUUCCUAUAAAUUACAUAUACUAAAAGGGGAGAGAUAGAUUAACGUCAAACGUGACAAGGUCCAAUUAAACAGUAAUUAAAACACAUUCCCAAGGUUCAAACAAUUUGAUUUUAGCGCCUUAUCUCAUAACUCAAUUAUAGUUCAAGGCAUAAGUCCAUAGUCACCCAUUUUAUAACUACUUAAACACAUUUAAAUAAUCAUAAUGGAAUGCAACAUAAACAUUUAGAUUUAGUGCAUAUGGGCAUAAUAGUAUUAUGAGUUUAAACAACUAACAAAAUUAAAAUCAAAUAUUUUAACUUUCUAGUUAGUAGGGGCUUAAAUGCAAAUAUGAAAAAGUUAGGGGUCAAACCGUAAAUACUCAAAAGUAUAAAAUAUCUUUUUCUAAAUUACAAAAAGCCCCACAAGUGGGUAAUCCACUAGGGAAGGCCGGCCACUUAAUGGGGGGAUGGGAAGUCUCACCCACAUGCUUUAAUUCAAUGCAAGGUAGAAAAUUCCAAAUUUACUUGUCACUUGGUUUUGGCAUUAAAAGGCUUUAAUGAAAAAGUGAUGGAAAUCUCCUAGACAAGUCUAGGGUUUUAUAAGUUUUAAUAUGGUUAUGGAUGGUAAGAACAUCAUCCAAAACCAUAAAACUAUGCAUGAAAACCAAAUAAAACCAUUUUCACCCAAAACCAAACUAUGAACACCAAGAACA